UACGUAGGGUGCGAGCGUUAAUCGGAAUUACUGGGCGUAAAGCGUGCGCAGGCGGUUCGCAAAGUCUGAUGUGAAAGCCCCGGGCUCAACCUGGGAACUGCAUUGGAAACUAACGGGCUCGAGUGUGGCAGAGGGGGGUGGAAUUCCACGUGUAGCAGUGAAAUGCGUAGAGAUGUGGAGGAACACCGAUGGCGAAGGCAGCCCCCUGGGCUAACACUGACGCUCAGGCACGAAAGCGUGGGGAUCAAACAGG
rnacentral:rRNA from 1 species